GAAAAACUGGUUAGAAAAGUGGAAUUUGAAACCAUGUCAAAGAAACAGAUGCACAAGUACUGAUAAGUGCUCUCUAAGGACCUUUAACUCCAACAUUAGUUGGCUCUCUGAUUGCAAGGAAGCUCUACAAGAUGCCUACAGUUGCCUUUAAUGAUCUUGGAACUUACUCUAUAGUCUCCUCUUCAUGGGAAAAUGGAGUUUUAUGGAGAGAUCAACCUGGGAACUGUUAGAUCCUCUCUAUGCUUGGAAGAUCCUUGUAACCCAUCACAGAGAGCAAUUCAGAGAAGAAAAUUUGCACACUCUACUCCAAAGAGGACUACCCUGUGCCCUGGGUCAUUAUAAUCACCCCCAAAAUGAGAAUAAUAAAAGCAUGUUGUUAUUGAGAACUCAUAAUGGGUCAGAUAUGGAGCCCAGCAUUUUAUACAUAUUAACCCGUUUAAUUUCCACAACAGUCCUAUGAAAUUGGAACUAAUAUCAAUCUCAUUUUACAGGUUAGGAAACUAAGGCUCAAAGAGGUUAAGGGACUUGUCCAAAAUCAUGUUGCUGCUAAUAGCAGAAGCCGACUUCAACGUCAGUGCUUUUAACCACUAUGCUGUUAAAAAUGGAGACC
rnacentral:lncRNA from 1 species